rnacentral:rRNA from 1 species
UACAGAGGUCCCAAGCGUUGUUCGGAUUCACUGGGCGUAAAGGGUGCGUAGGUGGCGAGGUAAGUCGGAUGUGAAAACUCGGGGCUCAACCCCGAGCCUGCAGUCGAUACGGGGCAGACUAGAGUGCUGUAGGGGAGACUGGAAUUCCUGGUGUAGCGGUGAAAUGCGCAGAUAUCAGGAGGAACACCGGUGGCGAAGGCGGGUCUCGUGGGCAGUAACUGACGCUGAGGAGCGAAAGCGUGGGGAGCGAACAGG